UCACAGUGCAGAGCCCUGGAAUUGAAGCGGAAGAAGAUACUUUUCCUCCAGAGGAAGAAGCAAACAUGUUGCUCUGCAGCCUGCUGAAGGUGGUCACAGCUUCAAUGUGGCUAGGAUCUGGUAUGGCCCAGAAGGUAACCCAGUCCCAACCAGCAAUGUGGGUGCAGGAGAAGGAGGCUGUGACCCUGGACUGCACAUACGACACCAGCACAAGUGUGGCUAGUUAUGCUCUAUUAUGGUACAAGCAGCCCAGCAGUGGGGAGAUGAUUUUGCUUAUUCAUCAGGACUCCUAUAAAGAGCAAAAUGCAACAGACGGUCGCUACGCAUUGAAUUUCCAGAAGGCCAGCAAAAGCAUCAAGCUUGUCAUCUCGGCUUCACAAGUCGGGGACUCAGCGAUCUAUUUCUGUGCCCUGAAUCAGCCCACAGUGAGAGGAUUGCUGGAGGGAGGUGUACAAAAACCCCAUGGUUCUAUUUGUGACAUCCACCUGCUGUAG